UCUUUUUCCCUGUCUUUCUUUUUAUUGGAAUACUCUCAAUUCUUGAAAUUUUCUCUUUGCAAAAAUAUGGUGAAAUCAGAUAACUCCAAAAUUAUUUUUCCUAAAUAUUUAUAAAUGAUUUGAAAUUUCAAAAUCUAGGGAUUAAAACUACCUUGAAAUUAACUCAGAAUUUGAAGAACUUGAACCAUUAAAACACACAA
rnacentral:lncRNA from 1 species